UCACAGCCGCCCCUCCCCUUUUUCCUCGCUGAUAUUAUUUUGCCCUCUCUCCCUUUGUCUUUCACUAAACCUGUCUUCUCUCCCUCGCUUGAGCAGAUCACCGGAGACAAACAACCAAACAGGCCGCUGCUUGGACCUGUCUGGUUGACUUUGUCUCUGGUGAUCUUCAAAUGCUGGAACUCGGACCAGCAUUUGCCGUGGAUAAAAUACUAGCUCCUGUGUACUUUAACUCUGGUUUUAUUUCAUGUUCAUACUUACGGAUUCAUUAUAAGUGAACCUUUCCCAGAUGAAUUUGGAUGUUAUUAGUGCACUUGUUUUAUAGGAUUUUAACCUUUAUCGUACUUCCAUAAUAAUAUUCCAUAAUGAAUUAAUUUAACAUUAUGCUACUUUUCUUUUUUAUUUUUCCAGGAAAGCACAUUAUAUUUGGAAGAGUAUGCAGGGGAAUGGAACUGAUCAGAAGGCUCGCAGUGUCCAGACUGAUAAAGAUGAUUCAUGAUAGGCCCAUCCAUGAUGUGAAAAUACUUAAGACCUCGGUUAAAGAUUGAUGCCUUGUAGCUGUCGUGUAACGAUUCCAAAAUGCUGUAACCUCUGAUUUUGGAUGUACAAACAUUCUUCAAAACACAUAAAUUCCGGACGUAAGCAUCUCAUUGAAAUGGAAGAAAAAAUAUGACAUUUGAAGAAUA